AUUGAACGCUGGCGGCAUGCUCUACACAUGCAAGUCGAACGGUAACAGGGUGCUUGCACCGCUGACGAGUGGCGAACGGGUGAGUAAUGCGUCGGAACGUGCCGAGUAGUGGGGGAUAACGCAGCGAAAGCUAUGCUAAUACCGCAUACGUACUGAAGUAGAAAGUGGGGGACCUUCGGGCCUCACGCUAUUCGAGCGGCCGACGUCUGAUUAGCUAGUAGGUGAGGUAAAGGCUCACCUAGGCGACGAUCAGUAGCGGGUCCGAGAGGAUGAUCCGCCAAACUGGGACUGAGACACGGCCCAGACUCCUACGGGAGGCAGCAGUGGGGAAUUUUGGACAAUGGGCGAAAGCCUGAUCCAGCCAUGCCGCGUGUCUGAAGAAGGCCUUCGGGUUGUAAAGGACUUUUGUCGGGGAGGAAAUCCCCAGCGUUAAUACCGCAGGGGGAUGACAGUACCUGAAGAAUAAGCACCGGCUAACUACGUGCCAGCCGCCGCAGUAA
rnacentral:rRNA from 1 species